GAGCCAGUCACGGACUUGCCACUCUCCCCAUAUCUAUUAUAAAUUUGGUCUGGCCACAGAGAAGGAUUGUUCCUACUCAGAAUCAUGUGAUAUAUCAAUAUCAUAGAGGCAAAGAAUUCAGCCAACCAUUACUUCACUCACAUUUAUUGUGAAAAAUGGCAAAUGCAUAUUAAACAUUGCACCUUUAUGGUUUUAUGGAGUAUUAUGAUUAAGCAAGCAAAUGAAUUUAAUUUGUUUCCAAGUUGAAAUGAAGCAUUGAUACAAUUACAUAACUGAUUGUAAAGUUAGGUAUAUAAGAAGUUGAGAGGGUGCAAAAUGUUUGUGUAUGAUAUAGUAAUAAAAUAAUUUUUUCUAUAUAUGUUGUUUGGUCCUUGGUGUA